CUGGUCCUACGGGGCGCAGCAGUGGGGGAUAUUGGACAAUGGGGGGAACCCUGAUCCAGUGACGCCGCGUGAGUGAAGAAGUAUUUCGGUAUGUAAAGCUCUGUCAGCAGGGAAGAAAGCAAUGACGGUACCUGACCAAGAAGCCCCGGCUAACUACGUGCCAGCAGCCGCGGUAAUACGUAGGGGGCAAGCGUUAUCCGGAUUUACUGGGUGUAAAGGGAGCGUAGACGGCUGUGCAAGUCUGAAGUGAAAUGCCGGGGCUCAACCCCGGAACCGCUUUGGAAACUGUACAGCUAGAGUGAAGG
rnacentral:rRNA from 1 species